UUGCUUUGAUAGCAGAUAUACUAAAACUGGAACAAUACAGAGAAAGUUGGCAUGACUCCUACAUAGAGAUGACACACAAAUUAGUGAAGCAUUCCUUAUGUUU